UACGGGGGGGGCAAGCGUUGUUCGGAAUUACUGGGCGUAAAGGGCUCGUAGGCGGCCAACUAAGUCGGAUGUGAAAUCCCCAGGCUUAACCUGGGAACUGCAUCCGAUACUGGAUGGCUUGAAUCCGGGAGAGGGAUGCAGAAUUCCAGGUGUAGCGGUGAAAUGCGUAGAUAUCUGGAGGAACACCGGUGGCGAAGGCGGCAUCCUGGACCAACACUGACGCUGAGUGAGCGAAAGCGUGGGGAGCAAACAGG
rnacentral:rRNA from 1 species